CCAGCAGCCGCGGUAAUUCCAGCUCCAAUAGCGUAUAUUUAAGUUGCUGCAGUUAAAAAGCUCGUAGUUGGAUUUCGGGUGGGAAUGGCCGGUCCGCCGUUUCGGUGUGCACUUGCUACGCCCACCUUGCUGCCGGGGACGUGCUCUUGAGUUCACGCUCGGGACACGGAGUCGGCGAGGUUACUUUGAGUAAAUUAGAGUGUUCAAAGCAGGCCUACGCUCUGAAUACAUUAGCAUGGAAUAACACGAUAGGACUCUGGCCUAUCUUGUUGGUCUGUAGGACCGGAGUAAUGAUUAAGAGGGACAGUCGGGGGCAUUCGUAUUUCAUUGUCAGAGGUGAAAUUCUUGGAUUUAUGAAAGACGAACUACUGCGAAAGCAUUUGCCAAGGAUGUUUUCA
rnacentral:rRNA from 1 species